rnacentral:rRNA from 1 species
AUGGUUGUUUACCAUGUUGUUUGCUUCUUUCCGGUUUUUCUUCUUCGGGUUAGUUUCGAUAACGUCGCAUUUGUGAGGAUUCAUUCGACUAUGUUCAUUUGUCUUCUUCAUGGACUCGUUCUUCUUCCUUGCGGGAUCUUAGGCAAGAUGAUCAUACCCUCGAAAUCCCUUCUAUCUUUGCUUGCUAGUUGCUCCCUCUAUUGCUAUGCCGCGAUACCUACUACUUGCUAUAUCAUGCCUCCUAAAUUGCCAUGUCAAGCCUCUAACCCACCUUUCCUAGCAAACCGUUGUUUGGCUAUGUUACCGCUUUGCUCAGCCCCUCUUAUAGCGUUGCUAGUUGCAGGUGAAGAUGGAGUUUGUUCCUUGUUGGAACGUGAUUAUUGUUGGGAUAUCAUUAUUAUAUCUUGUUUACUUUAA